rnacentral:rRNA from 1 species
UACGGAGGGUGCAAGCGUUGUCCGGAUUUAUUGGGUUUAAAGGGUGCGUAGGCGGUCUUUUAAGUCAGUGGUGAAAUCCUGCAGCUCAACUGUAGAACAGCCAUUGAUACUGAAAGACUUGAGUACAGACGAGGUAGGCGGAAUUUAUGGUGUAGCGGUGAAAUGCAUAGAUACCAUAAAGAACCCCUAUUGCGAAGGCAGCUUACUAGGCUGUAACUGACGCUGAGGCACGAAAGCGUGGGGAUCAAACAGG